rnacentral:rRNA from 1 species
AUUGAACGCUGGCGGCAGGCUUAACACAUGCAAGUCGAGCGGUAGCACAAUAGAGCUUGCUCUCUGGGUGACGAGCGGCGGACGGGUGAGUAAUGUCUGGGAAACUGCCUGAUGGAGGGGGAUAACUACUGGAAACGGUAGCUAAUACCGCAUAACGUCGCAAGACCAAAGAGGGGGACCUUCGGGCCUCUUGCCCUCAUAUGUGCCCAGAUGGGAUUAGCUAGUAGGUGGGGUAAUGGCUCACCUAGGCGACGAUCCCUAGCUGGUCUGAGAGGAUGACCAGCCACACUGGAACUGAGACACGGUCCAGACUCCUACGGGAGGCAGCAGUGGGGAAUAUUGCACAAUGGGCGCAAGCCUGAUGCAGCCAUGCCGCGUGUGUGAAGAAGGCCUUCGGGUUGUAAAGCACUUUCAGCGAGGAGGAAGGGGGUGAACUUAAUACGUUCAUGAAUUGACGUUACUCGCAGAAGAAGCACCGGCUAACUCCGUG